UGUUCAUGUGGCUGUUAAAGCUGCUGCCACAAUCAGUCUGUUUGUGGCUGUGGUCAUAGUUGUGGUCAUCCACAGGAAGAGAUCAGGGGACCCCCAGGGCAAACCCAACACCUUGGCUCCAAGUGUUCGAUCAGCUGCAACCAGCCAGUCCUUGUAGCCUUGUUCUCCUUAUGGGCUCUUUAGACCCAGCUGUUCACAGAGUCUCCAUCACCUGAGUGCACCUCCAUCCACCGCACAUUAGGAGCUACAGAAUGCCAGGCUGGGGUUUAGGGAGUUAACAGUGUAACUGCUUUAAGUUCUGAAAGUCUGAAAACCUCUCCGAGUGUGUAAGUCCCAUCAUGUCUCUUGUAGUUUUGUAUAACUGAAUGCAAAGCUU